CUUCUCCCCAUGACCCUCUCCUCAACUGGCCAUCAGUUCCACCCCAGAAGCCUGCCUUGGUUCCUGAUCAUGUCAUCACAGUAUGAGUGUUUCUUGAAGCCACGGAAAGCCCUUUGGGAAAAACACAUAUUACAAACAUAACCUGGAGCUCCCUUUUCAUGGAAUGCCAGCACAAAGACUGAUUAUACUCAUGUGUGCCGAAUGUCCUCAUAUUUUUCAUUUUAAAAGAAGAGCACUGUGGAGGAUGUCACAUUCAAUGCGCCAUCUUGAAAGCAGAGCCUGGGGCCUCCCCAGAUACAGAUCUGAUGGCACCUUGAUCAUAGACUCCCCAGCCUCCAGGA